AUGCCGCACCAAAGAAAAUGCUCUCAGCCUUGGACGAUCCAUUCACUCGAUUCUUGAAACCAUUACCUUUUCUGAAGCAAGACUAGCUAGCACCCAAGGUGCCCUGGCAGGUGUACGUUUAUCCAUUGGCUACCCGUUGGAGCAUCACUUGCGGUGCUCUUUGUAAUGUCACUUGGUGGGUUUUGCAGAAAUGACUGUCUAGAGACGUUUUAUCUUGAUAAUUGACAACAUAAGAGUGCAAAAUAUUUGACAGCAGAUCGCUUAUGGGGUCAUCAAGGAAACUCAAUAGAUGGCUAUUUCAGUGGAGAUUAUACCAGAGAUGUUGUUUUGAAAGUAUAUGCCAGGAGAGAAAGAUAUACUUGAAACCCGAUGAGGUCAAUGAUGUGGAGAUUUUACCAGAGAUGUUGUUUUCAAGUAAGAUUUUGUGUGAGAUUAUACCGAUCGCACCAGCACGCCACAUUGUUGCUCCACGGCAAAGGCAGCGAGCGACUGGCUGGCUGCUGCUGGCUUGUACGUGUGGAAGGCAGUUGUUCACGGCAGACCAGUGAGCGGCGGCGGGUGGGCGCGACCACAUGGUGGUUGGAAGGUAGGCUUCGCGGCGUUCAGCCUCGGCCACCAUCGUACCACGAUCUCGGCCCACCCGGAAAGUUGGAUGAAGAGGUGGUGGACGGUGAGGACCAAUCAUUAUAGCUGCUACUCCAUUACAUCCGCUCCUCGAAAAGCUCCCUGAGCCCGACCAACAAUGGGAUCUUCCUCUGAGGUUCACGCUACUCCUUGUCCAGACUGAUCCCGGAGAGGAGAACAAGCC